UCGAGAAUCUUCGGCAAUGGGGGAAACCCUGACCGAGCGACGCCGCGUGUGGGAUGAAGGCCCUUGGGUUGUAAACCACUGUCAGAGGGGAUGAAGUGCCAGAGAGUUAUCUCUCUGGUUUGACAUAGCCUCAGAGGAAGCACGGGCUAAGUUCGUGCCAGCAGCCGCGGUAAGACGAACUGUGCAAACGUUAUUCGGAAUCACUGGGCUUGAAGAGUGCGUAGGCGGUUUUGUAAGUAGGGUGUGAAAGCCUCCGGCUUAACCGGGGAAUUGCGCUCUAAACUGCAAGGCUGGAGUGAGGUAGGGGUGUGUGGAACUUCUAGUGGAGCGGUGAAAUGUGUUGAUAUUAGAAGGAACGCCGGUGGCGAAAGCGACACACUGGACCUUGUCUGACGCUGAGGCACGAAAGCCAGGGGAGCAAACG
rnacentral:rRNA from 1 species